CCCUUCACUCGACAAAUGGGGAUGUUAAGGCCCAGAAAGGCAAAGAAAGUUCCCCAAGGUCACAAGAUCAAUUGGCCACAUAGUUGAGGCUGGCUAAGAGAAAAGAAUAAUUUCUUGCUGGAUUCUUGGGAGAACCAUACAGGAAUAAGGUGUGACGGGACAGGGAGGAAGAUUAGAGCAAAACAAGGGAGUUGAAGUGAGGGAGUUAGGAGAACCUGGAUACCCCAGAAAACGCCAGCUCCAAUGUAGCCCACCCUGGCAGCCCAGGUGAUGGUGAGAGAUGCAACUCACUUCUUCUGCUUCUUCUCCAGCUCAUGGUUUCGACUUUGUUGGUUCUCUAGCAGGACGCAGGUAUCCUCAAGGUCACAGAGCAGUCUCUGGAUAGAAGAUCCACAUGUACAGACAAUAUUUUUCAUGUCUCACAGUGACCAGCAUUUGUAAUAAUAGUGGAGAUGGAAAAACCUUAAGGGGUUUGUGUCCUCUUCCUCCCUCUUCAGGCUCAGCUAAUACCUCGAUCACCCACAGUGGAGGUGAGAGCCUGCCCACUCUCUAACACUUCUGUGGCCCAGACUAUCCCCACAUCUUACCUUUUGCUCCAGCUCUUUCCUGGCUGUCAGCUCCGAGUCCAGCCUCUCCUCGCAUUGCUGCAGACGCUUUCUGAGGAACUCGUUCUCCAUCUGAGCACAGUCGAAGCGCAUCUGCCACUCGUCUGCUGUUUAACGGAGU
rnacentral:lncRNA from 1 species